GGAGAGGUGGCAGAGUGGUUGAAUGCGACGCACUCGAAAUGCGUUAUGGUGCAAGCCAUCGUGGGUUCAAAUCCCACCCUCUCCG
rnacentral:tRNA from 1 species